rnacentral:rRNA from 1 species
CAAUAGCGUAUAUUAAAGUUGUUGCAGUUAAAAAGCUCGUAGUUGGAUUUCGGGGCAGCCUGGCUGGUCCGCCGCAAGGCGAGUACUGGUCAGCCGCCCUUCCUCUCGAAAGCCCCGACUGCUCUUUAUUGCAGUGGUCGGGUAGUUCGGGACGUUUACUUUGAAAAAAUUAGAGUGUUCAAGGCAGGCCUACGCCUGAAUACAUUAGCAUGGAAUAAUGGAAGAGGACCUCGGUCCUAUUUUGUUGGUUUCCAGGACCGAAGUAAUGAUUAAGAGGGACAGUUGGGGGCAUUCGUAUUUAAUUGUCAGAGGUGAAAUUCUCGGAUUUAUGAAAGACGAACAACUGCGAAAGCAUUUGCCAAGGAUGUUUUCGUUAA